AUUGAACGCUGGCGGCAGGCCUAACACAUGCAAGUCGAGCGGGGGUAGCAAUACCCUAGCGGCGAACGGGUGAGGAAUGCUUGGGAAUCUGCCUGGUAGUGGGGGAUAACGUUCCGAAAGGAACGCUAAUACCGCAUACGUCCUACGGGAGAAAGGGGGGGAUCUUCGGACCUCUCGCUAUCAGAUGAGCCCAAGCGGGAUUAGCUAGUUGGUGAGGUAAAGGCUCACCAAGGCGACGAUCCCUAGCUGGUCUGAGAGGAUGAUCAGCCACACUGGAAGUGAGACACGGUCCAGACUCUUACGGGAGGCAGCAGUGGGGAAUAUUGGACAAUGGGCGAAAGCCUGAUCCAGCCAUGCCGCGUGUGUGAAGAAGGCCUUCGGGUUGUAAAGCACUUUAAGCGAGGAGGAAGGUUCGUCACCUAAUACGUGACGGAAUUGACGUUACUCGCAGAAUAAGCACCGGCUAACUCUGUGCCAGCCGCCGCUGUAACAC
rnacentral:rRNA from 1 species